CCUACGGGAGGCAGCAGUGAGGAAUAUUGGUCAAUGGACGCAAGUCUGAACCAGCCAUGCCGCGUGCGGGAAGAAGGCUCUAUGAAUUGUAAACUGCUUUUGUACGGGAGUAAAUCCCGGUACGUGUAUCGUGUUGAAAGUAUCGUACGAAUAAGGAUCGGCUAACUCCGUGCCAGCAGCCGCGGUAAUACGGAGGAUUCGAGCGUUAUCCGGAUUUAUUGGGUUUAAAGGGUGCGUAGGCGGUUCGAUAAGUUAGAGGUGAAAUCCCGGGGCUCAACGCAGGCACUGCCUAUGAUACUGUUGGGCUAGAGUGUAGUUGCGGUAGGCGGAAUGCAUGGUGUAGCGGUGAAAUGCAUAGAGAUCAGACAGAACACCGAUUGCGAAGGCAGCUUACCAAACUAUGACUGACGCUGAGGCACGAAAGCGUGGGGAGCAAACAGGAUUAGAUACCCUUGUAGUC
rnacentral:rRNA from 1 species